rnacentral:lncRNA from 1 species
GAAGAAUUGAUGCUUUUGAAUUAUGAUGCUGGAGGAGACUUUUGAGAGUCCCAUGGACUGCAAGAAGACCAAACCUAUCCAUUCUGAAGGAAAUCAGCCCUGAGUGCUCACUAGAGGACAGAUCCUGAAGCUGAGGCUCCAGUACUUUGGCCACCUCAUGAGAAGAGAAGACUCCCUGGAAAAGAUCCUGAUGUUGGGAAAGAUGGAGGGAACAAGAAGAAGGGGAUGACAGAGGACAAGAUGGUUGGAUGGUGUUCUCGAAGCUACGAACAUAAGUUUGACCAAACUGUGGGAGGCAGUGGAAGACAGGAGUGCCUGGCGUGCUCUGGUCCAUGGGGUCACAAAGAGUUGGAUAUGACUAAACGACUAAACAACAACAAAAUCUAUCUAUAGCUAUAGUUUUUGCAGAGUGGAUUUAACAGACCUCCCAAUAUUUGACUGCCACUUCACAAUGCUUGUCAAAUUAAUCUGUCAAAAUCAGCUCUGAGUCUUAUAAUUCUGAACUGAAUUCAUAGCACAUGCAGGUGUAUGCAUGUGUCUGAAAUUAUCUCUUUCAUUUCAGAAAUGCCCACCUGUGGGCUUGUGUGUGCAUUGGACAUGCUCUUGACUCCACUUGGAAAUCUCAGAUAAUAGCAUUUGCACAAUGCUUUUGAGUUUCUAAGCAGGCACUCCACAUAUAUUAUCCUGUUUCUAAACCUUGCAACAAACCAAAGAGCUAGGUCAAUAUUAUUAUUCCUGUCUUGCAUAUGAAGAGGGCCAGGGCAUAAGCAAAGAGAGCACACCUUGCCUAAAGACACUAAGUGAGUUCCUGGUAGCGGUGGGAUUUUACAACAGGGACUUAUUGAAUCUUAGACACCUGCUUUACACCUAGGAACAUGCAACGAUUGGUUAGAACGUCAAAUAACAUAUGUUACACAAGCAAGGAUCAGUGCAACUAUUUGAAAGUCCCUUGGGUUUAGGAGUGGGUUGGAGUUGUUUUUGGAAAGAUGUAGAUACCUCAAUAACCAGAUCGCUAUCAAUUUUUUCAAUAGGUGGCAGUGUUCUCCUACUUUCAUACCUCGAUGGCAGAUUUCACAGCAGAAAAAACCCCCAUGAAGAUAAUGGCCUGGAUCCAAACUACCACAUAACAAAUGUGUUGUUCUGUUACAAUAUGCUCUAGGUGGAGCUGCCUUUGAAGAUCUGAAAACUAUAGCUGGUUCAGAAUGCCGCUGCCAGACUGUUGAUAUGUGGUGCGUAUGAGCAUUUGACUCCAUUGCUAUUUAAUCUGCUUUGCAUCCUGGUGCGUUUCUCAGCCCAAAUCAAAGUGCUACUGGUUAUCUUUAAAGUUUAAAGACAACAAGUGGUACUUUGAAUUCCGCUCAGAAACACAGAAGGAGCCACUGCAAAGCUAAAUGAUUUGCGUCUGGAAUACCUAAAAGUCUGGUUGCGCCUACAUGGCUCUGUCUAUCUAUUAAGCUCUUAUGAGGAGACUCUGGACCACACCUCAAUGCUGUCUGAGGUGUGCUUGUUGGUUAUGGGGGACAAGUCUUCUCAGUGGUGGAUCCUGAGGUCUGGAAUCUUCCUCAAAAGGUUUGUUCAGCCCUUCCCUCCUAACCUUCAGGGAAACAGCCUUGUUUAGAAAUGCCUUUUAUAUAGUUUUGUUUUUAAACAAAUUACUUGUGGUUUUAAAUUGAUGCUAUUGUUUUGUUCUGUUUACAACCUGUUUUGGGGACUCCAUUUGGAGUAAAAAGAAGGAUAUGGCUAUAUGAAUAAAUGAAAUAAAUGAACGACUUCUGCACUCUUAAGGGUGUGUGUGUGUGUGUGUUUCUCAUAUAGCAGGUGGUGUGAACUUUUGGUCCUUUUGGCCAUGCUUGCUGAAGCUGAUAGGAGUUGUAGUUUAGCAACAUCUGGAGGGCCAAAGGUUCCCCACACCUUUCAUACAGUAUAUGAGGGAAUGGUUGUAACUCAGGGGUAGAGCUUUGGCCUGGCAUGCAGAAGGCCCAAGUUCAUUCCCAGGCAUCUUCAAGUAGAGGUGGGAAAGAGUCCUGCUUGAAACUCUGGCCAGCG